rnacentral:rRNA from 1 species
AGCAACAAAUGCCCUGCUUCCAGGAAAAGCCUCUAAGCAUCAGGUAACAUCAAAUCGUACCCCAAACCGACACAGGUGGUCAGGUAGAGAAUACCAAGGCGCUUGAGAGAACUCGGGUGAAGGAACUAGGCAAAAUGGUGCCGUAACUUCGGGAGAAGGCACGCUGACACGUAGGUGAAGUGAUUUACUCAUGGAGCUGAAGUCAGUCGAAGAUACCAGCUGGCUGCAACUGUUUAUUAAAAACACAGCACUGUGCAAACACGAAAGUGGACGUAUACGGUGUGACGCCUGCCCGGUGCCGGAAGGUUAAUUGAUGGGGUCAGCGCAAGCGAAGCUCCUGAUCGAAGCCCCGGUAAACGGCGGCCGUAACUAUAACGGUCCUAAGGUAGCGAAAUUCCUUGUCGGGUAAGUUCCGACCUGCACGAAUGGCGUAAUGAUGGCCAGGCUGUCUCCACCCGAGACUCAGUGAAAUUGAACUCGCUGUGAAGAUGCAGUGUACCCGCGGCAAGACGGAAAGACCCCGUGAACCUUUACUAUAGCUUGACACUGAACAUUGAGCCUUGAUGUGUAGGAUAGGUGGGAGGCUUUGAAGUGUGGACGCCAGUCUGCAUGGAGCCGACCUUGAAAUACCACCCUUUAAUGUUUGAUGUUCUAACGUGGACCCGUAAUCCGGGUUGCGGACAGUGUCUGGUGGGUAGUUUGACUGGGGCGGUCUCCUCCUAAAGAGUAACGGAGGAGCACGAAGGUUGGCUAAUCCUGGUCGGACAUCAGGAGGUUAGUGCAAUGGCAUAAGCCAGCUUGACUGCGAGCGUGACGGCGCGAGCAGGUGCGAAAGCAGGUCAUAGUGAUCCGGUGGUUCUGAAUGGAAGGGCCAUCGCUCAACGGAUAAAAGGUACUCCGGGGAUAACAGGCUGAUACCGCCCAAGAGUUCAUAUCGACGGCGGUGUUUGGCACCUCGAUGUCGGCUCAUCACAUCCUGGGGCUGAAGUAGGUCCCAAGGGUAUGGCUGUUCGCCAUUUAAAGUGGUACGCGAGCUGGGUUUAGAACGUCGUGAGACAGUUCGGUCCCUAUCUGCCGUGGGCGCUGGAGAACUGAGGGGGGCUGCUCCUAGUACGAGAGGACCGGAGUGGACGCAUCACUGGUGUUCGGGUUGUCAUGCCAAUGGCACUGCCCGGUAGCUAAAUGCGGAAGAGAUAAGUGCUGAAAGCAUCUAAGCACGAAACUUGCCCCGAGAUGAGUUCUCCCUGAGACUUUAGGUCUCCUGAAGGAACGUUGAAGACGACGACGUUGAUAGGCCGGGUGUGUAAGCGCAGCGAUGCGUUGAGCUAACCGGUACUAAUGAACCGUGAGGCUUAACCUU